CAGGAGGAUCAUCUGAUUCCAGACCAUGGUUGAUAACAGAUAACUGCAGGUAACUGCAGGAAGGAAAGCACAGCUUUGACCCAAGGAUGGACUGAAUUGGGAAACUCCAUUGUGAGCACGCACAGCAAAAUUUCAAGAAAACCUAUCUUUCUUGCAAAAGAUCAGCAGAGGCCCCUUCUCAGCCUUUCCCCAAGUCCAGCUAUAAUCACAGAGCUGUAUUGUUAUGGUGGAGGUAAGAGGAGCCUCAUCACAUGGAACUACAUGGCAGUUCAAGAGGACCUCAUCUGAAAGAACUCUGUAUUACAUUCUAUCCAGAAGAACCAGAAAAAGAGCCUCUUGGAGCCAGACUAUGGAGAAAUCCUGAACUGCAGAGAAUGGAAUAGGACAGUUCCUUCUAUCCUUGUAACCUGAAAAAUGGUAAUUCUGCUUCCUUUGACCUACAGAUCCGUCAGGGAACAAUUAUAAGAAUAUACAUGUGCUGGCUGUAACAAGAACAUAUUUCAUGGACUAAAAGGUGAACUUUAAAUAGAGGCUGCAUGUUAUAGAGAC